GACACUAUACUCUCUCUUCUCUCUAAACUUUUCUCUUCUCUCACAAAUUAGACGUAAGCACCGCUGCAAAUUGGCGGUAAUUUUCUCAAAAAAUUCACUAAUAUAACACAUAUUUGGCCAUUAUGAACUAAAAUCUUCAAAGCCCUCUCAUAUCUUUGAGGGGUUGUGUGAUUUUAGCUAGUGUUUUGGUGAUUUUACCUGCAUAAUAAAAGGUGUUUUGUGAUUUUAGCUACAUCUAUGAGAUCUAUUAGUGUUUCUGUUUGUGACUGGAGCUGGAGUAAGAUUUCUUCAAGAAGUUUGGUCAUUUAAGAUACUUACAUGAUAGAGUAAAGAUAAGAUUCAGCAGAAUCAAAUAGAGGAUUACGAAGAUUUUCAAAAAGAGAAAAAUGAUGUAUCAAGUGUAUUCUUGAAGCUUGGGCAUCCAGUUGGAAAUGAGAAGAAGACAAAAAGAAAGCCUUUGAAGAUGAAUCAACAGUUAUCUUCUGAAGUACAUCGAUAUAUAUUGUUCAACGCCGGACAUGAACAAGACAAGGAUUUUAUCAAGGAACAUAAAGCUUUAUUUGACAAUACUGUUAGAAAAAAUGUAUGGACAAGAGCAAGAACUCACAGUCAGGAAUUCGACAUCUGGUUCAAAGAGAAGGUUGAAAUAGUUGAAAUGCCUAAUCAGUUAAGGUGGCUAGAUAAAGGGCCUAAUAGGAUGGCAACUAGAAAAUAUAAUGCCUAUUUCAUUAAUGGAUACUGAUUUCAUGUAGUACAUUGGGAUUCCACACAGAAGUCUCAAAACAGUGGAGUGUCUUUGACUGUGACAACUGAUAGUUUUGCUAGUGUCCGAGAUCAGAAUCCCAUUGAUGGAGAGGUUAUCUAUUAUGGUGCUAUUCAAGAUAUUAUCGAGCUCGAUUAUUAUGGUUGUUUUAUUAUUGUACUAUUUGGAUGUGCUUGGUAUCAACAGAUUACGUAGUAUAGAAGACCCUUUUGUGUUGGCCUCUCAAGUGCAUCAAGUGUUUUAUGUGGAGGAUCCAACUGAGACAUGUGUUUAUUAUGCAAUUUAUUUGUAUGAAUUGGUGGGAGAAAAUUGUCCUAACAUAGAAGAGAUAUUUUGGAGGGAGUCUACUAAAGACUUUGGUCCAUCGAACACAGCACCCGAUGUUGACAUUAGAAGCUCAAGAGAGAAUAUCUUUGUUGAUGUUGUUCAUGUGCUACAUGAUGCACAAUUCUUAGAAGAUACAACUAUGGAAACAUUAGAAGAGGAAGAUGAUUAUGAUGAUACUGAUUAGGAUGGAAUAGAAGUAGAUGAUUAAAUAAAAAACUUUAGAACUGUUGUAGCUUCUUUAAACAUUCGUCUAAAUGACAGAUGCCUCGUAAAGUUGUUUAACUGGAAUAUUUUAGUUUGCCAUAUUAGACAUGACUUUUGUUGAUUUGUUUGUCUAAUUGUUUAUAGAUUAUGACAUUGUUGCUUGAAACUUUUGCUAAUACUUGAUGCUCCUUGUUAAUCCUAUCUAUUUAACUUAGAAUUUUGAUAAUUUUUUUAGUUGUUUUGAAUAAUAAAAUACUCUAUUACUUAUAUGUUAAAAUGCCGAUUUCCUAAACUACACUGGCCAUGUUCUUGAUGUAGUUAUUUCAAUAUGUAUUUGGUGCCUGAUUUCUCUACUACUCUAUUAAUUAGUAAGGUGAUAUGAUGCGUAUAUGUAGUCUUGUUUAGCUAGAUUGUGCAUUCAUGAGUCCAAAUAAAAACAAAACUGUGAAGGAGAAGAAAAAGAAUAUGACGGCUAGAAGUUUUACAUCCAUGGCAUGCAAAUGGUCUUUGUCAUUGAAAACAAAGCCAGCUGUUGAGCAUAUUCUGUGUCAGAAAUCUUCUUCUGAUCUAGUUUCAAAAGCUUGAGAGGAACUGGUACCUCAAAAGUCUCCUCAAAAUACUUCCACUACAAAUGCACAAGCUAUACAUGCAUUGUUGCCUUAAAAGAAUUCCACUUAGAAAUCAUAAGGUAUACAGCAGGAAAUGCCACCACAAAAUUAUCCUCAGAAGUCGAUGAGAUCAAAAGAAAAAGCUAUACAAGAACAAGUUCCAUUUGUCUAAAAAAUCUUCCACUAUUGAAGCACAAGCUGUUCAGGAACUGGUUCAAUGGGUUACUCGGAAUUAUACUGCCCUAAAAGCACAAGCUGGUCAGGUACAACUGCAAUAAGUGACUAUGGAUUCUUUCUCUGUUGGAACAGAACUUGCCGAGGAACAAAUGCAACAAGAGACAAGAGAUUUUCCUACUCUAGAAGGAGAAGAUGUGCAGGAUCAAGAACAAGAAGAACCACUGGAUUCAGGAGAAAAUGAUUUAUCCGUAGAACAAGGAAAGAAAAUAUAAGUAUACUUUUUACUAUUGAAUCAAUUUACAUUGUUGUUAAUAUGUUGUUUAACAUUGUUUAAUUUGUAUUCCCUUUGAGAAAAAUGAAAAAUAGAGGAGGUACAGUAAUGACACAUAUACACACUCGUAAAGACCGUAAAGUCAUUGUUCUAAAUAGGUAAAAUCAACCAGUUGGUCCUACUGCAGCAGUAGUAGUAGAGCUUGGUAUCUUUCUUGGAACUUUGGCAAUAAAUGCAAUGCUUUGUCCUCUUCAUAUACAUAAGUGGAGUAUUGUGGAUACAAAAAAGGAUAAGUGGGAAUAUACCCUGGUUUUCAUUCCUUUUCAAUAAUCUUAGUUAAGAAUAAUUUGUAGUUUCUAUAUUACUAACCCAAGGAACAAUUUGUAGGAGAAAUACAAAUUUCCUGAAGUUGGAAAAUUAUGGAUUUUAAAAGGAAUUCAGUCUGCUCGGAGAUAGUACAAGAACUACUUGUAUAAGAAUCACUAUAUAUCAUUUGCAACUAAUGCUCUUCGAUUGGCAAACAAACGUGACGAAGUUUCAGAUUAUGAUUUCAUGGAUCUUCUCAAGUAUUGGGGAAGUGACGAAUUCAAGAAAAUGAGUGAAGAAAUUGCAAAGAGUCGAAAAAAAUUAAAGAAUCUACAUACUGCUGGAAAAAGAGAAGAGAACUUCUGGUGAAGUAUCACAAAAGGAACUCUUUGUGGUUACAAGAUCAAGGAAACUCGGUCGAGUAUACAAGGACACUGAUGAUGAUAUGAUUAUUAAAAUUGCUAAAAUGGACAAAAAUUCAAAGUCAAUCAAGUGAAGAAGGCCAAGAAUCUAUUGAUGCUUUUACCACUGUCAUGGGACCUGAACAUCCAGUAUUUGUGAGAUUUUAUUGGCCAGGAGUUAUUAAAACUAAUCUAAAACCGAAGAAAAGUGGUGAGUCCUCCAUAGCUGAUACCAAUGAAAUGCAGAAGAAGAUGGAUGAAUUGGAAGAUAGAAUGGUGGAAAAGUUAAAACUUCAAAAAAAAAAGCUUACACCAUGAAGUUACAGUUGACAUACUUAAAUGCCUUAAUAAUAUGUACCCUGGGUUUUAAUUGGAUGAUGACAUAUUGGCAGCAACUUGUGCUCAACCACAACAAGAAUAUAUCCAACCAAUCAAUCAACCAUCUGCCACUAGCAACAAUCAAGGUCAAGAAUACAAUAUAGGUGGUGAUGAAAACAUGGAUGAGGACGACAUUUGAGAUUUGCUUGAAAGUUGUUGAAACUCUUGCAUCAUGACCAGAUCUUUUGUUGAUAUAAUGAAGUCUUAUUUUGUUAUCAAGUUGAAACUUGUACCAAUUGUUGUAUCUUUUUACCAUAGAUCAUAUUGUCACUAAUUUUUUGUGCCUUUAGAGAAUGACCUUAUGACUUGCA